GUGAGGAAUAUUGCGCAAUGGAGGCAACUCUGACGCAGCCAUGCUGCGUGCAGGAAGAAGGCGCUACGCGUUGUAAACUGCUUUUAACCGGGAAGAAACCCCAGGACGUGUCCUGGGUUGACGGUACCGGAGGAAUAAGCACCGGCUAACUUCGUGCCAGCAGCCGCGGUAAUACGAAGGGUGCAAGCGUUAUCCGGAUUCAUUGGGUUUAAAGGGUGCGUAGGCGGAGCGUUAAGUCAGUGGUGAAAUCCUGCAGCUUAACUGUAGACUUGCCAUUGAUACUGGCGCUCUUGAGUGCGCUUGAAGUGGGCGGAAUGUGCCGUGUAGCGGUGAAAUGCUUAGAUAUGGCACAGAACACCAAUUGCGAAGGCAGCUCACUAAGGCGAUACUGACGCUGAGGCACGAAAGCGUGGGGAUCGAACAGGAUUAGAUACCCCUGUAGUCC
rnacentral:rRNA from 1 species